AUUCCAAUCGAACUCGGAGAUAGCUGGUUCUCCCCGAAAUAGCUUUAGGGCUAGCCUCAUAUUAGAUACCCGGAGGUAAAGCACUGAAUGGCCUAGCGCCCGAGAGGGUAGCGAAGCCUAUCAAACUAAGAAUGCCGGAGUAUUGAUGUAUGGGAGUCAGACAGUGUGAGAUAAAUCUCAUUGUCAAAAGGGAAACAGCCCAGAUCUACAGCUAAGGUCCCAAAUUGUAUCUAAGUGGAAAACGAUGUGGAAAUACGCAGACAACCAGGAUGUUGGCUCAGAAGCAGCCACUCAUUUAAAGAGUGCGUAAUAGCUCACUGGUCGAGCGUCUCUGCGCGGAAAAUUUAACGGGGCUAAGAUACAAACCGAAGCUUAGGCUGCACGUAAGUGCGGGGUAGGGGAGCGUUGUGUAAGCGGAGAAACAGUAGCGUAAGCGGCUGUGGAGUUUACAGAAGUGAGAAUGCCGGAAUGAGUAGCGCGAAUGUGGUGAGAAUCCACAUGGCCGGAAACCUCAGGUUUUUGGAGGAAGGUUCGUCCGCUCCAAGUUAGGCGGGAGCUAAGGUCAGGCCGAAAGGCGUAGCCGAUGCACAGACGGUAGAGAUUCCGUCCCCACCGAAAGAUUUAAGCACAGGGACACUUUUUGAAGGUCGGAGCCAGGUGUUGGUUCUGGUAGUGAUCGAGGGAAAUAUAGUACCGAAGUCCGGCUGGAAGAGAGGCGAGAAAAGCUGUGUGUAUAUCUAAGGUGCCCGUACCGCAAACCGACACAGGUAGGUAGGAAGAAGAUUCUAAGGCCAACGGGAGAAGGGUUGUUAAGGAACUCGGCAAGUUGACCCCGUAACUUCGGAAUAAGGGGUGCUCACGAGAGUGAGCCGCAGAGAAUAGGCCCAGGCAACUGUUUACCAAAAACACAGGUUUGUGCUAAAUCGAAAGAUGACGUAUACGAGCUGACGCCUGCCCGGUGCUGGAAGGUUAAAAGGAGAUGUGCAAGCAUUGAAUUGAAGCCCCAGUGAACGGCGGCCGUAACUAUAACGGUCCUAAGGUAGCGAAAUUCCUUGUCAGGUAAGUUCUGACCCGCAUGAAAGGCGUAAUGAUUUGGGCACUGUCUCAACAGCCCGCCCGGCGAAAUUGUAGUACCGGUGAAGAUGCCGGUUACCCGCGACAAGACGGAAAGACCCCAUGGAGCUUUACUGUAGCCUGAUAUUGGGUUUCGGUGUUGCAUGCACAGGAUAGAUGGGACGCUGGGAAGGCAGUGCUUUGGCAUUGCUGGAGCGGACGUUGGGAUACCAUCCUUGCGACAUUGGAAUUCUAACCUGCGCCUCUGAAUCGAGGCGGGGGACAUUGUCAGGUGGGCAGUUUGACUGGGGCGGUCGCCUCCUAAAAAGUAGCGGAGGCGUUCAAAGGUUCGUUCGAUCUGGACGGAAACCAGAUGAUUGAGUGCAAACGCAUAAACGAGCCUGACUGCGAGACUGACGGGUCGAGCAGAGACGAAAGUCGGAGUUAGUGAUCCGGUGGUAUGUGAGUGGAAAUGCCAUCGCUCAACGGAUAAAAGUUACCCUGGGGAUAACAGGCUGAUCUCCCCCAAGAGUCCACAUCGACGGGGAGGUUUGGCACCUCGAUGUCGGCUCAUCGCAUCCUGGGGCUGAAUUCGGUCCCAAGGGUUUGGCUGUUCGCCAAUUAAAGCGGUACGCGAGCUGGGUUCAGAACGUCGUGAGACAGUUCGGUCCCUAUCUGUCGUGGGCGCAGGAUAUUUGAAAGGCGCUGUCCCUAGUACGAGAGGACCGGGAUGGACGAACCUCUGGUGCACCAGUUGUCACGCCAGUGGCACAGCUGGGCAGCUAUGUUCGGAUCGGAUAAACGCUGAAAGCAUCUAAGCGUGAAGCCGGCCUUAAGAUAAGAUAUCCCACUGAGUCAAUCAGGUAAGACCCCUUGAAGACUACAAGGUUGAUAGGCACACAGUGUAAGCGGAGUGAUCCGUUCAGCUAGCGUGUACUAAUAGGUCGAGGGCUUGACCCC
rnacentral:rRNA from 1 species